rnacentral:tRNA from 1 species
GCGUGGGUAGUUCAGUGGUUAGAAUCUCUGGCUUCCAAGAAAAACAUUUUUACGAAGAAACCAGAUGACCCGGGUUCGAACCCCGGCCCGCGCA